rnacentral:rRNA from 1 species
CCUACGGGGGGCAGCAGUGGGGAAUAUUGGACAAUGGGGGGAACCCUGAUCCAGCCAUGCCGCGUGUGUGAAGAAGGCCCUCGGGUUGUAAAGCACUUUCAGUGAGGAAGAACGCCUGGUGGUUAAUACCCAUCAGGAAAGACAUCACUCACAGAAGAAGCACCGGCUAACUCCGUGCCAGCAGCCGCGGUAAUACGGAGGGUGCGAGCGUUAAUCGGAAUUACUGGGCGUAAAGCGAGCGUAGGUGGCUUGAUAAGCCGGUUGUGAAAGCCCCGGGCUCAACCUGGGAACGGCAUCCGGAACUGUCAAGCUAGAGUGCAGGAGAGGAAGGUAGAAUUCCCGGUGUAGCGGUGAAAUGCGUAGAGAUCGGGAGGAAUACCAGUGGCGAAGGCGGCCUUCUGGACUGACACUGACACUGAGGUGCGAAAGCGUGGGUAGCAAACAGGAUUAGAUACCCGAGUAGUC